rnacentral:rRNA from 1 species
AUUGAACGCUGGCGGCAGGCCUAACACAUGCAAGUCGAGCGGUAGAGAGGAGCUUGCUUCUCUUGAGAGCGGCGGACGGGUGAGUAAUACCUAGGAAUCUGCCUGAUAGUGGGGGAUAACGUUCGGAAACGGACGCUAAUACCGCAUACGUCCUACGGGAGAAAGCAGGGGACCUUCGGGCCUUGCGCUAUCAGAUGAGCCUAGGUCGGAUUAGCUAGUUGGUGAGGUAAUGGCUCACCAAGGCUACGAUCCGUAACUGGUCUGAGAGGAUGAUCAGUCACACUGGAACUGAGACACGGUCCAGACUCCUACGGGAGGCAGCAGUGGGGAAUAUUGGACAAUGGGCGAAAGCCUGAUCCAGCCAUGCCGCGUGUGUGAAGAAGGUCUUCGGAUUGUAAAGCACUUUAAGUUGGGAGGAAGGGCAGUUAUCUAAUACGUGAUUGUCUUGACGUUACCGACAGAAUAAGCACCG